GAGUUUGAUCGUGGCUCAGAUUGAACGCUGGCGGCAGGCCUAACACAUGCAAGUCGAGCGGAUGACGGGAGCUUGCCCCUUGAUUCAGCGGCGGACGGGUGAGUAAUGCCUAGGAAUCUGCCUGGUAGUGGGGGACAACGUUUCGAAAGGAACGCUAAUACCGCAUACGUCCUACGGGAGAAAGCAGGGGACCUUCGGGCCUUGCGCUAUCAGAUGAGCCUAGGUCGGAUUAGCUAGUUGGUGGGGUAAUGGCUCACCAAGGCGACGAUCCGUAACUGGUCUGAGAGGAUGAUCAGUCACACUGGAACUGAGACACGGUCCAGACUCCUACGGGAGGCAGCAGUGGGGAAUAUUGGACAAUGGGCGAAAGCCUGAUCCAGCCAUGCCGCGUGUGUGAAGAAGGUCUUCGGAUUGUAAAGCACUUUAAGUUGGGAGGAAGGGCAGUAAGUUAAUACCUUGCUGUUUUGACGUUACCGACAGAAUAAGCACCGGCUAACUCUGUGCCAGCAGCCG
rnacentral:rRNA from 1 species